AAACCUCCAUAACAACGAAUGAGGAGGUCCUGGGGUGUUUCAAAAUUUUCCAAUUUCACCAACAAAACGAGGUAGCGAUGAAAAGACACUGGCCAGUCAGUCUUAUGGUCCAGGAGAUGUGAAAAUUUAUCUUUUGAAAAUUCCAAAAAUGUGUGGAUGAGCCCCCAUGGUGCCCCUUUUGGAGUCACGGGGGUUUGUGGGCAAAUUUAACGCUGGCUAGUGAUUUUGUAUUCGCUACACUUGUCAGUUUGGCACUACCUCAUUUUGGAAAAAAAUUUAAAAUUUUUGAAUCUUCCCAGCACUUUUUGUUAAGAAUUCACUUGGGCCUUUCCAUCAAAUUUGAUAUCCACUUGUACAUAAGCAUGGCUGUCCAGUUAUUUAUUGGUAAAAUUGUAAAAUUUCGAAAAUUUUGAAAUGCUCCAGCCAGCACCUCCUCAUUGAUAGUAUCAUCAUUACAAAUCAUGCACAAUCAUAAUAGGUACCUCAUUUCAGAUAGAAAAUGGAAAAUGUUGAAAAAGUUUGAAACACCCCUGCACCUCUCUAAUGAGCAUCCAUGGAAGUUGUAUAUCAGUGUCACCUUUGAAAACCAACUAUACUUAUACUUAUUUAUUUGAAAAAAAAAAGAUAAUCGGUAACAAUUUUUUUCAUUUUGUAGGUAUGUAUGUUUUAAGCCUCUUUGAAUGGAACAAAUGUGAAUACCUAGCGCACCGAUGAAUUCACCAGAGGUAUUUUCAAGGUCGGAAAUUGCGUAUAUAAACUACGAAGUGUUCACUUUUCAGAUGGCGUUCAUAACUCAUUUUUAGGGAAAACAUGGAGUUGGCUAUGUUAUUUUAUGUAUUAGGGUAACGAGAGGUUGUCCUUGAAGUAGAGCUUAUAGAUAAUCAAAAAUUUUUAUUAUCCUACUUUUCACAAACAGAACUCGUGCUAAUUGAACUAGGUAUGAGCUAAUUAUUUGAUUCAUUGAGAUUUAUUAGGUACUCUGUGCAGUUAAUUAAGCGAAACUUAAAUUUAAUUAAGUACCUACUUACUACAUAUAUUCAAGAUGGGUGCACAUGCCAGGUACGUAUAAUGACAUCUCCAUCAGUUGUUCAGUUUUAUAUUGGAUAUCUACCACCUACUUACCUACUACAUAUUUCAUCUAAACAGAAGAUCCAAACAGCAAGAUGUGUUUCUCUACAAGUUUUUUCAUCUGUAUUUUCGUUAUUGUGCCCAGUUUGUUCCUGAAUUCGAUGGCUUAUGACUUCAUAGACAACUUUGAUGGGAUAGACACUAAUCAUGAUGGCCAGCUCUCGUUUAAGGAGGUGCGGCGUUAUCUUACAUUAGUAGGUUUUCCUUACACUAUUGAGGAAUUGAGAAGGGUCUUCAGAAAGGCUGAUCUGAAUAGAAAUAGAUUGUUAAGUCGCAGAGAAAUAAUAGACGUACGAGCCUUGCCGUUUAUUGUAUCAUACCUAUUAUACAUAAGUAUACAGGAUGCCCAGAAAUAUCGAGUACCCCUAAGAAAGUUUUUCAUUAAAAAUAUAGGUUGGCAACGUGAAAUAGAUGCAUAUGAUUGGUGGAAUGUUAUCUCUCCAGUCCAACAACCAAUGAUGUGCUAUCAUUAUUAUCAUUCACUGUGACCAACCGAAGUAAGGUGCACUGGGGGAAGUUGGAAUUCGGGGUAAGUUAGAAAACUUGCUCUAGCGCCUAGUGGUUUAUAUCGGGAAAACUUUAACUGAACGACAGAUUAAGUGAAUUGCACGACAGAAAAAUCCCACGACGAAAUCGUGUUUUUGAACGACAGCGAUUUAACGACAGUUUUGGUGAUUAAAACAGCAGCAUUGAACGACAGACCUCGAACGACAAGGAUAAAAAAUUCACGCCGCGAGAAAGUGAAUGCACGACGAACAUGGGAAAGCCCGACGAAUGUAUUUAAAUUCCCCGAUUGAAUUGUGUAAGUACGUUUUUCUAGUGAGGUGGCCAUCUCACUACCAAUUUGGACGAAGUUGUAUCAAUGGGCUGUUAUCGAUGUCCCCCAUUGUAGAAGAUUCCCGUUCUUCUGAAGGUCAACUCUUCUUGUCCUCACAUAAAAAACUCGUUUUCAUGCCUCUUGAAAUGCAAAUUUUCGGAAGCUUUCACCCUCGCUUCGCUCGAGCUUAUUCUCUUUUCUUUUUCAAAAGUAACUCCCUUCAAAAAAACAUCAUUCAAAUAUUAAAAUUUAAAAAACCAAACAAUAAACUCUUCGCACUAAAAAAAACUCGUCUUUAAGGCAUCUCAAAAUAAAAAUUUUCAGAAGUUCUCGCCCUCCCUCCUCAAAAAAAACUUUUUUUUUUAAAGUGUGGAGUAAGCAUAGAAAAUUGGAAAAAAUGGUCUCGAAAACCUGGAAAAGUCAGGGAAAAUCAUUUCCAGAAAUGAGUGGACACCUUGCAAUAGAAGCAAAAAAUGUGCCUCUAGGGCAGAAGAGGAAGAGGGGUAGACCAAACAAGUCAAAAAAGACACUUCUUAUAUAAUAAUUAUUCGUACUGUUCUUAUGUUACGUUGAUAUCUUUAUAAUUAAUUGUUUUUGGAAAUUUUAAUUUUGUGAAUAAAUUCGUCGCUUUUAUCAUUA